UACGGAGGGUGCAAGCGUUGUCCGGAUUUAUUGGGUUUAAAGGGUGCGUAGGCGGGUUAUUAAGUCAGUGGUGAAAGCCUUCAGCUCAACUGAAGAAUUGCCAUUGAUACUGAUGAUCUUGAGUAUGAUUGAGGUGGGCGGAAUGUGUCAUGUAGCGGUGAAAUGCUUAGAUAUGACACAGAACACCGAUUGCGAAGGCAGCUCACUAAGUCAUAACUGACGCUGAUGCACGAAAGCGUGGGGAGCAAACAGG
rnacentral:rRNA from 1 species